rnacentral:rRNA from 1 species
UACGUAGGGCGCAAGCGUUAUCCGGAAUUAUUGGGCGUAAAGAGCUCGUAGGCGGUUUGUCGCGUCUGCCGUGAAAGUCCGGGGCUCAACCCUCGGAUGCCGGUGGAUACUGUCGGGCUCGAGUACGGAAGAGGCGAGUGGAAUUCCUGGUGUAGCGGUGAAAUGCGCAGAUAUCAGGAGGAACACCGGUGGCGGAGGCGGGUCUCCGGGCAAUAACUGACGCUGAGGAGCGAAAGCGUGGGGAGCGAACAGG